rnacentral:lncRNA from 1 species
UGAAACUGAAGAAAGGACCUUUCCCUGACCACUUUGAGCCGAAUUUUUUCAAUUUUUGUGAAUUUUUGUUAAAUUUCCAUUGGUUCGUGUAGUCCACUUUGAGCACCAGAGCGGAGGCUAAAACAGCUAAAAGCAAGACUAAACUAGAACUGGAACCUUUACUUGGACAUACCACAAUACGCUUUCUACUUUGAGCGCCAUGACGAUGCUGCAUAAACUAUGACUGACUACUCCCUCUGUAAAGAAAAUAUAAGAGCGUUUAGAUCACUAAAGUAGUGCUCCCGAGUGGAAUGGCAAAAGGCUGACCCAUGAAAUCUCUUCCAGCAAGCCGGCACUGAGCAACCUGGAGAGCUUUCUUGAUCAGGGGAACAAUGUGAGCAGAGAACUGCAGAUGUGUGCCAUAGAAAUCUUGACAGAACUGGGUUUUGAUUCUUCGGCCAACCUCUGCACAGGAAUAAAAGAAAAUCUAAUAAAGAAGCAGUUGCAGAUAUUCCUUACUGAUGAUGAAGAGGGAGAAGAAAAGCUUAGAAAUACGGCUGGGAAAUCGCUGGCAUUACUUUCCAAGAUAAAAACUAUCUCUAUGUUCAUGAGACUCUAUGUUCAUAGUGAUGGAACAGAAUGACAUUCUUGAUCGUCUCAAUGAGAUACUUGAUGCUAAGAACAACAUCACCUACAGGACAGUAGCAUUGGAGAUCUUGGAGAACUUGUGCAGUCACUGUACAUUGGACAAGGAUUAUGUGAAGGAAGCCUUGCUCCCAAAUGUUAGCUUACAGAUUCAUUCAUCUAGUAAUUACAUAAAAAAAAUAGCCGGCACGACAAUAGUUUUGGUUAUACUUUUUUAGCAGUAUCAUCUGGGCAGUGAUUGUAUUUCCACAAGUUACAUUAUUGUUGCAGGUUCUCACGGAAGUACUGGCCAGUAAACGAGACCUCGCCAUAAAACAAAGAACAAAUUCUGCACAGGAUGAAUUGCUGUGUCUUGCAAGAGUGACCGAGGCAGUAAAGGCAAUUGUCGCAACCAAAAAACAUGAAGAAAACCAGGCAAUUUCUGGACCGGGUGAUGAUGAAGAAAAGCAACUGCCGUCCAAACACAGUGGCAAAAUCAAGUCACGUAAUCAGACAAAUAAGGAAUUCCGAGAAGCAUUGUUAUCGGCUUAUCGCUUACCUUGGUGAUGUGUGUCAGUGCAAAUGAUUUCAACGAUGUGGUCUAGAGAUUUCCUUCCAAGAGGGUGAAUUUGUGCGGAACCUCAAGGCUAUAGUCGAACAAAGUUGUGAGGCCAGAGCUGAUUGUCUAAGAAUCGUGAAGCUUUGCAGCCAGAUUGCGAUAUUAAUGCUGCAUCGUGGCCAUGUCGCGGACUUGGAGGAAUGCGUGAAGUCCUUGUGUAAGGACUCAAAGAUCAUGUCUAACCUCGAAAGUUGCAUGCUCUUUGCUGGGACUGAUUGCAGUGUGAAGAAGACUGCUAGGCCUCUCCUCUCCGACAUUGCCAAAAAAGCGCGCCAGUUGGUUGGUAAUUAGAAUGUAACUGCUUUCUAUCUUUGUGCUGUACUAUGUAUCAGGAACGAAAAUCAUGCCCCGGCCUACUAUAUUUAUCACAUUUUCAUUACAAAGAAACUAGUUAUCAACCCGUGCAUUUGCACAGGCUAGUCAUUUUUUAAACAGUUAAUGAUCAAACCAUUAAUAGCAUUUAUGCAUAAAGAAUAUUUACUGAUUGAUGUUUUUUAUAAAUUAAGAAAUUGAUGUUACUACUGAAAGUUGCAUUCUUAGAUGUGUUGUAGUUGCAAAAUACUUCCUCUGUAAACUAAUAUAACAUGUUAGGUUAAAAUGUCUUAUAUUAGUUUACAGAGGGAGUAGCAUAAAAACACUAAUGAAGAUUUAUACCAUAUCUCGGUUGCUAUGUGAAUCCAGUGUAUUGCAAGAGCCUUACCUCUAGUCAUGAAUGGCAGCAGUAUCAUAAGCUUCUUUUCAGUUUACAGUUACCUAGAAAUUCACUACGCAACAGCCAACAGGAGAAUCACCUUGCUAAGAAAAUUACCAGAUUAUUCCAAAUGCAUAAGGAUGGUUCUUCAUUUGCUCCUCAU